rnacentral:lncRNA from 1 species
AGUGUACAUGUCUACUCAUUUUUAUUGCUACCUAGAGGAUACUUCAGUGAAAGUUGUUUUGUUUCUUAUACUUGCAGGUGAAAUUCUUGAUUUGUCUGUCCAAGCAGCCUUCAUAACCUUUCCCAGCCUUGUGUGCUUCCUUCCAUGCUAUCCUGUGUUGCAGUCCUUUACCUGUGUGUUCUCACUGCCAAAAUUUCAGUGCUCCUGGAUUGUCUCUGAGGCUUCUCCUUCACGUUCUCUUCAUGAACACCCAGCAGGCUGAAGGCAGGAGGAAAGCCUGAAAGCAUCUGAAUGGCCUUCUAUGGACCCUUUAAAAUAGCUUUGAAUGUUGCAUUAGGAUAUGCAUAAAAGAAUCGCACAGUGUGGGAAGAACCAUGGUAAUGAAGACUUGCUAAUUGUUGUACUAAAUAAUGUGUUAUCGGUACUAUUAAAACUACCUAACCAGACUGCGACUAUACUGCCUAAUGUGCAAAUUCUUGAAAGAUGCCAAACUGCUAAGAAGCUGGUUUGAGGGAUGUGCAAUUUUCCUCAAAAAGAAUAUGCCAAAUAGUGCAUAAGAAUACAAACCUAAUGCCUGUGGCUAUUUAAGCAAUACUGUUUCAUGUUAGGGAACUUCUCUGCCCCGCUUGGUUUUAUAUUGAUUUAUACCCUGAAAUACAAACAGUAGCAUUUUUUUUACUGUACAAGUGUGAAGUGCUCAAAACUCACUGUAAAUAAAUAGUUACCCAUAUUUGAUAUUUUGAUUAUGGUAGGGAGCCUGGAGUGCUGAACCAAAAUCUUUAUUAAUUUUACAAAACAUGCUGCAUGUUAUGGUGGUCGAAUUGUAAUUAUGAAGUAAAUGAAAACAGCAUUGUGUUUUGCUUGAGUUUUUUUCUCUAAUUAGAAAGCAUAAUAGAUAAUCAGUGUACAGCAGUAGCUAACAACUUCUAAUGUUUCUGAACAUGGUGUUGUUGCAAGUCUGGUGUCUGGUCACUGAUAUCAAGGCCGGGUUUCCCAGUGAGUAAUUCCAUGGUUCGGUCUUCACUGUUUGUUUGCCACUAGUGUUUUGAUGUAGUAGAAGUGUAAAUGAGAAUUUUUCGUAAAUCUUUUGUCAGUGACUUCAUUAAUCCAAAAUUCACUUUUGCCAUCUGUUCUUAGUGGUAUAUUUCAGCUGGCUUUAUUAAACUUUCUGUUUGAUUUUUUAGCCUCAUGUUUUCACUGGACCAUCUCUUCUGAACGGGUAUUUUUUCCACUUCCUUUUAUAUUUCUCUGAUUUUUGUGAAAGACAGUGACCACUGUGAAAUGGCCCAGCUGCUUCUGGUUGAUGCUGGCUCAUUUAGAUGUCAUUCUCCCAUUUAUCAUCAGUGGUUUGGUCCCUGAGGAGCAGCUGUUCCUCUUUCUUGCCCUCUGUAGUAGCCGCGGGUUAAAAGCCUUCUCUUUAUCUGCCUGGUGUAGGAGC